rnacentral:rRNA from 1 species
AGAGUUUGAUCCUGGCUCAGAACGAACGCUGGCGGCAGGCUUAACACAUGCAAGUUGAACGGGAUUUGUGUGGUGCUUGCACCAUAUAAUGAGAGUAGCGCACUGGUGAGUAACACGUGGGAACGUACCUUUUGGUGGGGGACAACAUCUGGAAACGGAUGCUAAUACCGCAUAAGACCUGAGGGUGAAAGAUUUAUCGCCGAAAGAACGGCCCGCGGAAGAUUAGGCAGUUGGUGGGGUAAAGGCCUACCAAACCUACGAUCUAUAGCUGGUCUGAGAGGACGAUCAGCCACAUUGGAACUGAGACACGGUCCAGACUCCUACGGGAGGCAGCAGUGAGGAAUAUUGGGCAAUGGAGGAAACUCUGACCCAGCCAUGCCGCGUGAGUGAAGAAGGUUUUCGAAUUGUAAAGCUCUUUCGGAUGGGACGAUGAUGACGGUACCAUCUAAAGAAGCCCCGGCAAACUUCGUGCCAGCAGCCGCGGUAAUACGAAGGGGGCGAGCGUUGUUCGGAAUUACUGGGCGUAAAGGGUGUGUAGGCGGAUUUGUAAGAUAGUGGUGAAAUACCUGAGCUCAACUUAGGAAUUGCCAUUAUAACUAUAGAUCUGGAGUGACAGAGAGGAUAUUGGAAUACCCAGUGUAGAGGUGAAAUUCGUAGAUAUUGGGUAGAACACCAGUGGCGAAGGCGAGUAUCUGGCUGUCAACUGACGCUGAGGCACGAAAGCAUGGGGAUCAAACAGGAUUAGAUACCCUGGUAGUCCAUGCUGUAAACGAUGAAUGCUAGUUGUCGGCAAAAGCCGGUGACGCAGUUAACGCGAUAAGCAUUCCGCCUGGGGAGUACGGUCGCAAGAUUAAAACUCAAAGGAAUUGACGGGGACCCG